rnacentral:tRNA from 1 species
GAAGGUGUAGCUCAAAUGGUAGAGCGCAUGCCUAGCAUGCAUGAGGUCCUGGGUUCAAUCCCCAGUACCUCCA